rnacentral:rRNA from 1 species
GGCUAAUUAAGUCAAAUGUGAAAUCCCCGAGCUUAACUUGGGAAUUGCAUUCGAUACUGGUUAGCUAGAGUAUGGGAGAGGAUGGUAGAAUUCCAGGUGUAGCGGUGAAAUGCGUAGAGAUCUGGAGGAAUACCGAUGGCGAAGGCAGCCAUCUGGCCUAAUACUGACACUGAGGUGCGAAAGCAUGGGGAGCAAACAGGAUUAGAUACCCUGGUAGUCCAUGCCGGAAACGAUGUCUACUAGCCGUUGGGGCCUUUGAGGCUUUAGUGGCGCAGCUAACGCGAUAAGUAGACCGCCUGGGGAGUACGGUCGCAAGACUAAAACUCAAAUGAAUUGACGGGGGCCCGCACAAGCGGUGGAGCAUGUGGUUUAAUUCGAUGCAACGCGAAGAACCUUACCUGGCCUUGACAUACAGAGAACUUUCCAGAGAUGGAUUGGUGCCUUCGGGAACUCUGAUACAGGUGCUGCAUGGCUGUCGUCAGCUCGUGUCGUGAGAUGUUGGGUUAAGUCCCGCAACGAGCGCAACCCUUUUCCUUACUUGCCAGCAUUUCGGAUGGGAACUUUAAGGAUACUGCCAGUGACAAACUGGAGGAAGGCGGGGACGACGUCAAGUCAUCAUGGCCCUUACGGCCAGGGCUACACACGUGCUACAAUGGUCGGUACAAAGGGUUGCUACACAGCGAUGUGAUGCUAAUCUCAAAAAGCCGAUCGUAGUCCGGAUUGGAGUCUGCAACUCGACUCCAUGAAGUCG